CCUACGGGUGGCAGCAGUGAGGAAUAUUGGUCAAUGGACGCAAGUCUGAACCAGCCAUGCCGCGUGCAGGAUGACGGCUCUAUGAGUUGUAAACUGCUUUUGUACGAGGGUAAACCCCGAUACGUGUAUAGGGCUGAAAGUAUCGUACGAAUAAGGAUCGGCUAACUCCGUGCCAGCAGCCGCGGUAAUACGGAGGAUCCGAGCGUUAUCCGGAUUUAUUGGGUUUAAAGGGUGCGUAGGCGGUUUGAUAAGUUAGAGGUGAAAUGUCGGGGCUCAACCCCGAAACUGCCUCUAAUACUGUUGUACUAGAGAAUAGUUGCGGUAGGCGGAAUGUAUGGUGUAGCGGUGAAAUGCUUAGAGAUCAUACAGAACACCGAUUGCGAAGGCAGCUUACCAAACUAUAUCUGACGUUGAGGCACGAAAGCGUGGGGAGCAAACAGGAUUAGAUACCCUAGUAGUC
rnacentral:rRNA from 1 species